rnacentral:rRNA from 1 species
UACGGAGGGAGCUAGCGUUGUUCGGAAUUACUGGGCGUAAAGCGUACGUAGGCGGUUAUUCAAGUCAGAGGUGAAAGCCCGGGGCUCAACCCCGGAACUGCCUUUGAAACUAGAUAGCUAGAAUCUUGGAGAGGUCAGUGGAAUUCCGAGUGUAGAGGUGAAAUUCGUAGAUAUUCGCAAGAACACCAGUGGCGAAGGCGGCUCACUGGCCCGAUACUGACGCUGAGGCACGAAAGCGUGGGGAGCAAACAGG